AAGAUCCCCCACACUGGUACUGAGACACGGACCAGACUCCUACGGGAGGCAGCAGUGAGGAAUAUUGGACAAUGGGCGAGAGCCUGAUCCAGCCAUGCCGCGUGCAGGAAGACGGCCCUAUGGGUUGUAAACUGCUUUUACAGAGGAAGAAACACCCCGACGUGUCGGGGCUUGACGGUACUCUGCGAAUAAGGAUCGGCUAACUCCGUGCCAGCAGCCGCGGUAAUACGGAGGAUCCGAGCGUUAUCCGGAAUUAUUGGGUUUAAAGGGUCCGUAGGCGGGAUAGUAAGUCAGUGGUGAAAGUUUGUGGCUCAACCAUAAAAUUGCCAUUGAUACUGUUAUUCUUGAGUUAUUGUGAAGUGGUUAGAAUGUGUAGUGUAGCGGUGAAAUGCAUAGAUAUUACACAGAAUACCAAUUGCGAAGGCAGAUCACUAACAAUUAACUGACGCUGAUGGACGAAAGCGUAGGUAGCGAACAGGAUUAGAUACCCUGGUAGUCUACGCAGUAAACGAUGGUUACUAACUGUUUGUCUUGCUUCGGUAGGAUAAGUGGUCAAGCGAAAGUGAUAAGUAACCCACCUGGGGAGUACGUUCGCAAGAAUGAAACUCAAAGGAAUUGACGGGGGCCCGCACAAGCGGUGGAGCAUGUGGUUUAAUUCGAUGAUACGCGAGGAACCUUACCAAGGCUUAAAUG
rnacentral:rRNA from 1 species